rnacentral:miRNA from 10 species
AGUAGAGCUGGGGUUUCACCAUGUUGGCCAGGCUGGUCUCAAACUCCUGACCUCAGGUGAUCCACCCACC